rnacentral:lncRNA from 1 species
UGAUGGCUUUCGCACUGUUGAACAAGGAGAUCCUUCCUCCAGAUGUGAUAGAGACAAGAUGACUUGGGGUGUGGAAGCCAAAAAGCUAUGGCAGAACCAUCCUGAUCCCUUGAUGGCAAGCAGUCUAUCCAGAAAGAAAGUUGUGGUAGGAAGACAUUUUCUCUCUUGUUUUUCUAAAAGGACAAAGUUUGGAAACAUCUACAUGGUCUUUCUUAGAGGCACCAGUUCAUAUGGAGGAGUCUGAAGUUAAAUUCAGAGGUGCUGCAGGUGAGUAUUGGGAAGUCCCCAAC